CAACCAAGUCAGAUUUCCUUUGAACUUCAACCAAUAUUUUAGUCUCUCUCUCUCUCUAACAAAAAGAUCAGAUUGAUUUCGCUUUGAUGUAACGAUAUUCUUAUCAGAUUUUGUCCGAUUUCAUCAACAUGAGACAUCAAGUUUUGUUUUGAAGGUUCCAUCUCAAACAAUAUUCAACUUCGCUGAUAUGUUUAUUCAAUCUCAAAUAAUAGAUUUUGAUUGAUUCAAAUUCGAAGAUGAUGGAUUCAUUGCAGUUCAAUCUCAAACAACAGUUCGAUGAAGAUGAAGUCAGUGGAUUCAUCAAAAUUAAAACGAAAUCACAAUAUUACCCAGAUUCAAGAGGGAUGCGUGAAGUGAUUUAUGUGUUGUGUUCAAAGAAUCAGUUUAACAAUGGCGUCGAAUUCAAACAAAGAAUAGGUUUUUCUAUCAACCUCGAAGAAUAGAAACAGUCUAACAAGCGCCUACAUUUAUAUAUGGUUCGUAUUCGCUAACUCAAGAUGCUAUUUGAAUGAGAAUCAAAGAAAGUCCGGUGAUGGCAAUGACGAACAAUCAAAUGAUGUCAAACUCUAUAAAUCGGCUUGCUAUGACAUGUUCUAAGAUGCCUGUGUUUUUUUAUUAUUGAACAAUAUGAAAGGGAGCGCUUCCCUUUCACUUCAUCCAUCCGAAAUUAUCCAAAUUUCACACAAACAGUUUACGUUCACAAUUCUCUCAUUUUUACCAGAAUUGGUAUCAAUAUUGUUGUUGUAUAAACAAAAUUUUAGUAAACGGUAAACCUUAAAUCGAAAUUAUGCCCAUUCGGCGAUUUGUAACAUUGUUUUUUGGUAUCCAGAGAGUCACAACGCCGUCUCUUCCUCUCAGGCAAGUCGUAACCACCGCCUCUUCAUCUCCGGUGAUUGGUAACUACCGCCUCUUCAUCUCCGGUAAUUCGUAACCAUCGUCUCUUCAUCCCCGGUGAUUCAAGCAAAAAUCAUUGUGCAAACCCUUCCAACAAUUCAUAACCGUUGCCUCUUCAUCUAUGUCGAGUCGUAACCGCACACCACAAAUCUACUAACUCCACAAUCUGGUCAUUGGCUCCGGCGAGGCGGUUACUUUCUCAUGAAAUAUCACCGGAAUCGUUGUCAGGUCAAGCACCAACUAUUCCGAUGCAGAUUUCGUUGAAAUCGAUCCUUCAGGAGACCGGGUCGUUUCGGGAGCUAGAUUUUGAUAAGAAUAAAACCUACCCAUCCAAUCUUUGGUUUUGAAAUAUAGGGAAGAGUUGUCUUGGUUGGAAAGAAAAGACACAUACUGCAUGAGGAGGGUACAGGCAAUGAUGUGUAUGUGUUUUCCUAUUGGUGGGUUGGUUUUGUAUUGCAGUAAGUUUAUUACGUGAAAAGGCAAAUGAAAGGGUUUAUUGAACA